rnacentral:rRNA from 1 species
UACGUAGGUGGCAAGCGUUAUCCGGAAUUAUUGGGCGUAAAGAGCGCGCAGGUGGUUAAUUAAGUCUGAUGUGAAAGCCCACGGCUUAACCGUGGAGGGUCAUUGGAAACUGGUUGACUUGAGUGCAGGAGAGGGAAGUGGAAUUCCAUGUGUAGCGGUGAAAUGCGUAGAGAUAUGGAGGAACACCAGUGGCGAAGGCGGCUUCCUGGUCUGUAACUGACACUGAGGCGCGAAAGCGUGGGGAGCAAACAGG